CGACCGCUGGCGGCGUGCUUAACACAUGCACGUCGCACGGAAAGGCCCUGCUUUUGUGGGGUGCUCGAGUGGCGAACGGGUGAGUAACACGUGAGUAACCUGCCCUUGACUUUGGGAUAACUUCAGGAAACUGGGGCUAAUACCGGAUAGGAGCUCCUGCUGCAUGGUGGGGGUUGGAAAGUUUCGGCGGUUGGGGAUGGACUCGCGGCUUAUCAGCUUGUUGGUGGGGUAGUGGCUUACCAAGGCUUUGACGGGUAGCCGGCCUGAGAGGGUGACCGGCCACAUUGGGACUGAGAUACGGCCCAGACUCCUACGGGAGGCAGCAGUGGGGAAUAUUGCACAAUGGGCGGAAGCCUGAUGCAGCAACGCCGCGUGCGGGAUGACGGCCUUCGGGUUGUAAACCGCUUUCGCCUGUGACGAAGCGUGAGUGACGGUAAUGGGUAAAGAAGCACCGGCUAACUACGUG
rnacentral:rRNA from 1 species